AGAGUUUGAUCAUGGCUCAGGACUAACGCUGGCGGCGUGCCUAACACAUGCAAGUCGAACGAUUCUUUGAUUUAUAGCAAUAUUUAUUAAAGAGGAGUGGUGAACGGGUGAGUAACACGUAGAUAAUCUGCCUUUCAGACGGGGACAACUCAGGGAAACUUGUGCUAAUACCCGAUGAGACCACAAGAAGGGAUUUUUGUGGCCAAAGGCGGGCAGCAAUGCUCGUGCUGAAAGAUGAGUCUGCGUCCUAUCAGCUAGUUGGUGGGGUAAAUGCCUACCAAGGCUAAGACGGGUAGCCGACCUGAGAGGGUGAACGGCCACACUGGGACUGAGACACGGCCCAGACUCCUACGGGAGGCAGCAGUGAGGAAUUUUCCGCAAUGGGCGCAAGCCUGACGGAGCGACGCCGCGUGAGGGAUGACAGCUUUCGGGUUGUAAACCUCUUUUAUUAAGGAAAAAGAUCUAUAUGCUAAUAUCAUGUAGAUUUGAUGGUACUUAUUGAAUAAGCCCCGGCUAACUACGUGCCAGCAGCCGCGGUAAUACGUAGGGGGCGAGCGUUGUCCAGAGUUACUGGGCGUAAAGAGCGUGUAGGCGGUUGAAAAAGUCAGGUGUGAAAUUCUUCGGCUCAACCGAGGGACUGCGCUUGAAACUUUUCGACUGGAGUUUGGGAGGGGCAACCGGAAUUCCUGGUGUAACGGUGAAAUGUGUAGAUAUCAGGAGGAACACCCGUGGCGAAGGCGGGUUGCUGGACCAAAACUGACGCUGAGACGCGAAAGCGUGGGUAGCAAACAGGAUUAGAUACCCUGGUAGUCCACGCUGUA
rnacentral:rRNA from 1 species